GCCCAUGUAGCUCAGUGGUAGAGCACUUCCUUGGUAAGGAAGAGGUCACCGGUUCAAGCCCGGUCGUGGGCUCCA
rnacentral:tRNA from 1 species